AUUGAACGCUGACGGCAGGCUUAACACAUGCAAGUCGAGCGGAGCGGCGGCCGGGUGAGUAAUCCUUAGGAAUCUGCCUAUUAGUGGGGGACAACAUCUCGAAAGGGAUGCUAAUACCGCAUACUAAUCGAUGAGCCUACGUCGGAUUAGCUAGUUGGGGGGGUAAAGGCCUACCAAGGCGACGAUCUGUAGCGGGUCUGAGAGGAUGAUCCGCAAUACUGGGAAUGAGACACGGCCCAGACUCCUACGGUAGGCAGCAGUGUGGAAUAUUGGACAAUGGGCGAAAGCCUGAUCCAGCCAUGCCGCGUGUGUGAAGAAGGUCCUCGGAUUGUAAAGCACUUGAAUGUGGGAGGCGUUACCAACAGAAUAAGCACCGGCUAACUUCGUGCCAGCAGCCGCGGUAAUAC
rnacentral:rRNA from 1 species